rnacentral:rRNA from 1 species
UUGCAGUUAAAAAGCUCGUAGUUGGAUUUGUGGCUGUCGCCUGCGGCUCGGCAUUCGUGCUGUUGCUUAUAGCGUCGCCGUCCUUGGGUGGAACCUGUGUGGCAUUAGGUUGUCGUGCAGGGGAUGCCCAUUGUUUACUGUGAAAAAAUUAGAGUGUUCAAAGCAGGCUUAUGCCGUUGAAUAUAUUAGCAUGGAAUAAUAAGAUAGGACCUUGGUACUAUUUUGUUGGUUUGCGCACCAAGGUAAUGAUUAAUAGGGACAGUUGGGGGUAUUCGUAUUCCAUUGUCAGAGGUGAAAUUCUUGGAUUUUUGGAAGACGAACUACUGCGAAAGCAUUUACCAAGGAUGUUUUCAUUAAUCAAGAACGAAAGUUAGGGGAUCGAAGAUGAUUAGAUACCAUCGUAGUCUUAACCAUAAACUAUGCCGACUCGGGAUAGGCGGUCGUUUCUUUUGACCCCGUCUGCACCGUAUGAGAAAUCAAAGUCUUUGGGUUCCGGGGGGAGUAUGGGUCGCAAGGCUGAAACUUAAAGGAAUUGACGGAAGGGCCACCA